CGGGAGGAGGGACCGCCGCCCCAGUCCUCACACGCCCUUGCGGUUUGCUCGUGCCAUUUGCACGUCUGUCCCUUUUCCAUCUUUGUGAGCUUCAAACAGAAGCCAAGUCUUCCCUCUUUCCCUGUAUGUUUCCCCGGAGCGCUUCUCCGCGUGGCCAGAGAGGUUCCUUCACUACCAUCUGAGUGGCCGAGGCGGUUCCCGUGCUGGCACGCCGUUUCCCUUCUCCAGCACCGCUGUCGGAGGGGGACCCCGGGCCGGAGGGUGUGGACGCCAGCUUCAGCCCCUCCGCGGCCAGGGCCCGCGUGAGCCUCUGUGGCGCCAAACUCGGGGCCUCCCUCGGAGGCGAGGCCACCCCUCCGGCCUCCGCACACAGGAGGCCUCUCCCCCAUGUGGUUUGCGAGAGCAGCGGGAAGGGGGCUUGAAUCUGGUGCGGCUGCCGGCUGCCCAAUGGGCAGGAGGCGGACGCUGCCCCCACUGGGAUGACACCGGGCGGGGAGCGUCCCCGCAGCACGCAGGAGUCCCAUCCGGGUCCUUCCACCCACCCUGCAAAUGUCACUGCCCCUUGAAUUGCUGGAGUCAGGUUCCCAAGGUGCCUUGGAUGGGGAGCUCCUUUGAGGGGACAAUGUCACUCGGGUUGGCAUAGGACAUACGCUCCUCUGAGGACAGAACGUAGAGGUACGCGCCAAGCACAAGGUGUCCUCCCUACAAGGCCGCCGCAGGGUCUCAGGUUCUACCGGAUCCCUGUUGUGAUGGCACGGUGCCUCGCAGCCCCCUGGGGACUGAAGCCAGACGGAAGCCCCACAGACACUGGCGGCAGGGUGGGCAGAGGGGCCAGUACUCCCCGCUGACCUGCUGAGACGCUGCAGCACACGGAGCUCUCCCCGAGCCCGGCUCCCCUCGGUCCACAGGGCUGCUCGCAAACACCCCCGCCCCUCUUCUCAGAGUCCCCAGGACCAAAGCCUCAAGGUCAGGCCACUUUCUCUCCCCUCGGGUUUCGGGAUCAGGAGCUCUCCUGCCACUCUGCCACCUGCCUCCCUGGCCUCGGAUCCCCUCCCGCAUCCCUCUGUGCCCGACAGGCCAGCGGAGUCCCGAAGCCUCACGUGCACCGUGGCUGGGCUCUCUUUUGAGGGGCGCGGGCCUCCUCGGGGCUCUCCUCCUGCUUGUGCACCGAGAAGCCCAGAGCAGCCCGGGACGCCAUCACUGGGCCAGACCAUCCAUGUCUAACGGUAUGUCCCGCGGCGAUGGAGGUGUUCUAGAUGUGUGCUAUCCCAUCAGAGCCACCGGAGCAUCUGAAGUGUGAUCAGCGAGCGACCAACUCGUCUGCAUUUGUUAUAGCCGCUGAACCAGUAUUGACCCAUCAUUGUCAACCGAAGCCCGUGAUUUACGUCAUGGUUCUACACUCUGUGUUGUGCGGUUGUGAGUGUGGACAAAUCCGUGUCAUUGAUCCACUGUUACGGUAUCAUCCAGACGGAGGAGGUUCACCGCCCUACAAAUCAGUGCUGCCACGAUUCACCCUCCUGUGCUCCACCCGCACCCAUAACCACCACUCUGUGUACUGUCACUGUAAUUCUGUCUUUUCCAGAAGGUCAUACGGUUGCCGUCUUUUUAGACCGGCCUCUUCCAACUUCCCAAUUUACAGUGAAGGUACCUCUGUGUCUUUGUGCCUUUGUAGCUCACUUCUUGUAACCGCUGAAUGUCGUCCCACGGUGUCGAUCCAUUCACCUACUGAAAGACAUCUGGGUUGCUUCCAAUUUGGGGCAGUUAUGAAUAAAGCUACUGAAACAUU